GAUGAACGCUGGCGGCGUGCUUAACACAUGCAAGUCGAACGGAAAGGCUCCUGCUUGCAGGGGUACUCGAGUGGCGAACGGGUGAGUAACACGUGGGUGAUCUGCCCUGCACUUCGGGAUAAGCCUGGGAAACUGGGUCUAAUACCGGAUAGGACGAUGGUUUGGAUGCCAUUGUGGAAAGUUUUUUCGGUGUGGGAUGAGCUCGCGGCCUAUCAGCUUGUUGGUGGGGUAAUGGCCUACCAAGGCGUCGACGGGUAGCCGGCCUGAGAGGGUGUACGGCCACAUUGGGACUGAGAUACGGCCCAGACUCCUACGGGAGGCAGCAGUGGGGAAUAUUGCACAAUGGGCGGAAGCCUGAUGCAGCGACGCCGCGUGGGGGAUGACGGCCUUCGGGUUGUAAACUGCUUUCGCUAGGGACGAAGCGCAAGUGACGGUACCGGGAGAAGAAGCACCGGCUAACUACGUG
rnacentral:rRNA from 1 species